UAUAAUUAAUAUUAUUUUAAAUUUUAAGUUAUUAAAUGUUAAAUCAUUAAAUUAAAAAGAUUUGGCGGUAUUUUAAAUAAUUAGAGGAACCUGUAUAGUAAUUGAUAGUCCACAAUAAGAUUAACUUAAUUAAAAAUUUAUGUAUUGCUGUUUUUAGAUUAUUAUUAAUUAAAUUUUUAAAUUUUUAAAUUUUAAUUUAAUUCAAGUCAAAAUAUAGUUUAUUUAAGAAUUAAUAUGGGUUACAAUUUUUUUUUAUAAUGGAUAAAAUAAAUUUAAAUUAUUUUUAAAAUAGGAUUUAAUAGUAAAUUUAAUAAAUUAAUUAUUUUGAAAUAAAAAUAAAAUAAGU
rnacentral:rRNA from 1 species